AGCAGCCGCGGUAAUUCCAGCUCCAAUAGCGUAUAUUAAAGUUGUUGCAGUUAAAAAGCUCGUAGUUGAAUUUCGGGAUCAAUCUGUUGGUCGUGCCUUUGGUACGUACUAGCUUAUUGAUUUCUCCCUUCUGACGAACCAUGAUGUCAUUAAUUUGGUGUCAUGGGGAAUCAGGACUGUUACUUUGAAAAAUUAGAGUGUUUAAAGCAGGCUCACGCUUGAAUACAUUAGCAUGGAAUAAUGAAAUAGGACGUUUUGAUUCUAUUUUGUUGGUUUCUAGGAUCGACGUAAUGAUUAAUAGGGAUAGUUGGGGGCAUUAGUAUUCAAUUGUCAGAGGUGAAAUUCUUGGAUUUAUUGAAGACUAACUACUGCGAAAGCAUUUGCCAAGGAUGUUUUCAUUAAUCAAGAACGAAAGUUAGGGGAUCGAAGACGAUCAGAUACCGUCGUAGUCUUAACCAUAAACUAUGCCGACUAGGGAUCGGAUGAUGUUAAUUUUUAAUGACUCAUUCGGCGCCUUAAC
rnacentral:rRNA from 1 species